AGAUUGAACGCUGGCGGCGUGCCUAACACAUGCAAGUCGAGCGGUAACAGGUGUAGCAAUACAUGCUGACGAGCGGCGAACGGGUGAGUAAUGCUUUGGAAUCUUCCCAGUAGUGGGGAAUAACCAGUCGAAAGAUUGGCUAAUACCGCAUACGUCUGUAAAGGGAAAGCGGGGGCUCGUAAGACCUCGCGCUAUUGGAUGAGCCAAAGUCGGAUUAGCUAGUUGGUGGGGUAAUAGCCUACCAAGGCGACAAUCCGUAGCUGGUCUGAGAGGACGACCAGCCACACCGGAACUGAGACACGGUCCGGACUCCUACGGGAGGCAGCAGUGGGGAAUAUUGGACAAUGGGGGAAACCCUGAUCCAGCGACGCCGCGUGUGUGAAGAAGGCCUGCGGGUUGUAAAGCACUUUUUAGUGGGGACAAAAAAGCUACGGAUUAAUACUCUGUGGUCUUGAUUUAACCCAAAGAAAAGCACCGGCUAACUCUGCGCCAGCAGCCGCGGUAA
rnacentral:rRNA from 1 species